AGAAACUUCAGCGUCUCAGGAUAACAUCUUGACUCGCUCUUGUGCGCAUGUGCGCAGCUGACUUCCUGACCCGGCUGCUGUUCUUGAGGAGCUGCAGGCUUGUCUGCAGGGUGGGAACUAUCUUGUGAAAGCGUGAGAAACCUUUGGCUGGCUGCUCCACAGAUCCUCCACUCAACGAAAAGAAGUUAAAUAAAGUCGGACUUACCGGCGGAGCCACCGGCGAUGAUCUGAUGAGACGCCUCCCGGAGCAUGCUGCGGGGUUUGCUGCUCGUCAUGUUCACCGUUUAUGCGUCCUGCCGAAAACAGCGACAAACUUGACAGCAGAUCUGUGAGCGGCUGGAAAACGAGGCUGAAGCAGAGCGACAGUGUGUUUGGGUGUUAAAUCCCUCCGAUCAGACCUGUCCUGGUUCCUGUCGUGGCUCCGGUUCACUGACUCUGGCUCCAGCUGGAGAGAAGCGCAGCGCUGAUGUCUCUCCGAGUGCUCGCAGGCUAAGCUAAGCUAAGCUAAUGUGGAUUCAAUUAGCACCGCCAAAAAACUCAUUCACCCUCCCUCCUGGUCCCUCUCACUCAUCCAGGGUGAAUAUGUGAAAUUAAGGUGAACCCUGAGCCCCCUGCUGCCCCUGAUCACUGUCAGUCACAUAACGAGCACAAAGGUCACUUUAUUGUCAUAAAUGUCCAGAAAUAAUAAAGUUUUUAAAGGGA